GAUGAACGCUGGCGGCGUGCUUAAUACAUGCAAGUCGAACGAAACUUCUUUAUCACCGUGUGCUUGCCCUCACCGAUACAGAGUUGAGUGGCGAACGUAUGAGUCACACGACUGCAGCCUAACCUAAAGAGAGGGAUGACACUUGCAGACAGGUGCUACUACCGCAUAACCAUGGUUGCUGCGUUGUAGCGAUGUAGAAGGUGCCCAUGCUUCCGCUGUUGGUUGGUGCCGGGGGGGCUUAGCUAGUCGUUAGGGUAAAGGCUUACCAAGGCAAUGAGUCGUAGCCGAAUUGAUAGGUGGAUCGGCCGCAUGGGAACUGAGACACGGCCCAAACGCCUGCGGGAGGGAGCAGUAGGGAAUCGGCCACAGUGGGCGAAAGCAUGAUGGAGCAACGCCGCGUGGGUGAAGAAGGUCUUCGGAUCGUAAAACCCUGUUGUUAGUGAAGAAAGGGCGUGGGAUGAACUGUUCACGUUGCGACGGUAACUAACCAGAAAGCCACGGCUAACUACGUG
rnacentral:rRNA from 1 species